rnacentral:rRNA from 1 species
CUUCUGUAGGUGAACCUGCGGAAGGAUCAUUACCGAGUGCGGGCCCUCGCGGCCCAACCUCCCACCCUUGUCUCCUAUACACCUGUUGCUUUGGCGGGCCCACCGGGGCCACCUGGUCGCCGGGGGACGCACGUCCCCGGGCCCGCGCCCGCCGAAGCGCGCUGUGAACCCUGAUGAAGAUGGGCUGUCUGAGUACUAUGAAAAUUGUCAAAACUUUCAACAAUGGAUCUCUUGGUUCCGGCAUCGAUGAAGAACGCAGCGAAAUGCGAUAAGUAAUGUGAAUUGCAGAAUUCCGUGAAUCAUCGAAUCUUUGAACGCACAUUGCGCCCCCUGGCAUUCCGGGGGGCAUGCCUGUCCGAGCGUCAUUUCUGCCCUCAAGCACGGCUUGUGUGUUGGGUGUGGUCCCCCCGGGGACCUGCCCGAAAGGCAGCGGCGACGUCCGUCUGGUCCUCGAGCGUAUGGGGCUCUGUCACUCGCUCGGGAAGGACCUGCGGGGGUUGGUCACCACCACAUUUUACCACGGUUGACCUCGGAUCAGGUAG